rnacentral:misc_RNA from 1 species
AUUCUGAGCGUGAUUGACUGAUAGGAAAUGGUAGCCUGCGGUGCUUGGAUAAAUGGCAUUUAUCACAGUCAUCCAUAUUCGAGUGGAAAUUCAUUGUGUAUAUGUGAGAAAUUGUAACAGGUGAUGUGUGUCCCAAACGGUAAUGCCAUAAUCAGCUAUGUUCAGAGAGGCUUUUAUUUAUAUCAGUACAUGUAUAAUUUGAUGACAUAUGUUUGCUAGUAAUAACAAUGGGUAUGGUAGGUUGUAAAAUGGCUUUCUUAGUUGAGGGUACUGCUGCAUUGUUCAGUCUAUAGCGGCCUCUCUCCAGUCUCCUAACAGCAACCAACUUCUUAGUCCAUUGGUCCUGAAGGAAGCAUUGGUUAUGAUAAAAAAAUAAUAGUAAGGUGGUUUGUAUUGGUUAAUUGGCCAACAGAUAAAAGAUUACAUUUAAAUUUGGGUAAGUAAAAGACAUUUGUCAGUUUUAAUUUUGGAUGUAAUAUAACCGUGCCUAUUUAAUAUACGUAUUGUGUAGAGCCAUCAGGUAAGUAAACAUAUGUGGCAGUGGUAAAAGUUUGAUUUGAAUCAAAAAGUGAUGGGUCGGAAAUCAUAUGAGUAGAUGCACCUGUGUCUAUAAUCCAAUCACCUGUGUGUUUACUGUUAGAAUUAAGAUAGUAAUGCUUAGAACCCAUACCUGAAAAUCCAGCUAAACCAGAAAAGUUUUGGCAACUUUCAUCAUUAUUCAUUUUGCCUUUCAUGUAUUUUUUUACCUCCAGAUGUACUGCAUUUGAGAACUCCUUUCCCCAUUCCUCUGACUUCUUAACAGUAGCCUCAGAUCCCACAUCAUCUAAUGGAGUGUCAUAAGUUGUCAUAUAUGCCUGUGGCUUAUUGAAUUUCUUCUAUUUGAACUCACUGAGCCAAUCUGGGUAUCCAUGGAGUUUGAAGCAUGAGUCAUGAACAUGACCUGUCUUUUUACAAUAAGUACAAUGGCGAUCUUCCUUUUCAUCUCCUUUCUUAAUGCCCGAAUUCUUACUGUUCCCAAAAUCCUUUUUCUGAAAAUUUCCUUUAGCCAUUAUCACCAAACUCUCACUUGAUUCAACAAUGGUACUAUGAAAUUCAACAAUGGUACUAUGAACUUCUCUUUGCUUUUCAACAGACAAUGCCAUAGAAUAUGCUUUGCUAGCAUUACGUAAUGGAUCCAUUAGUAGUAUUUGGUUUCUCACAUUAUCAUAUUCACCACCUAGUCCCAUUAAAAAUUGAAUCGUCUUGUCAUCUUGAUCAAAAUCAGCCACCUCAUUUGAUGCACCACAGGUACAGCCACAAGAAAAUACAGGAACAGGCUUCAAACAUUGCAAUUCGUCCCACAUCUUUUUAAGUUCGGUAAAAUAAACUGCCAAUGACAUGUUUCCUUAAGUGAAAAAACUAAUCUCAUGUUUGAUAUUGUAUACAAUGGGCCAUUACUCCCACCAAAUUAUUGUUCUAAUUCUUUCCACAAAUCUUUUGCAGUAGAAACAUAUAUGAAUGCUUCAACCAAAUUUUUUGAAAUACAAUUUAAGAUCCAGGAAAACACCAUACAAUCCACACUCCUCCAUUUUUCAUAGGAAGGAGAUUUUUCAUCAGGUUUUGUGAUCUUACCAUCAACAAAUCCCAAUUUAUCUUUCGCACAUAACGCAAUUACCAUCGAUCGUCUCCAAGACAAAUAGUUUGAUCCAUUCAACGGCACACUUACCAGUAACAUGCCUGAAUUAUCAGAAGUCUGCAAAAGAAAUGCCUCCUCCAUGGACUGAUUCGUCGGAGUUGAACUGUUGCUAUCUGAUUCCAUACUACAAGCAAGAACUUCCAGCGGAAACACAAAGAAAAUGAAAGCGAAUUCGAAUCUGAUUGUGUAACAGAUUUCGAAACAACACUCAAUCUCAGUAAAGAAAAAUCAUGGCUGCCAUAGCUACACAGCUUUACUCUGAUACCAUGUCAAAAUACAGAGAGGAGUGAAAGAAAAUAUGAUCUGAA